rnacentral:rRNA from 1 species
AGCGCGACGGUGAGUACGCGUGGGUAACUUCCCUGUACACCCGAUAACAUCCGAAAGGUAUGCUAUACGGGAUAACAUAAUAAAUCGCAUGGUUUUGUAUCAAAGCUGAGGCGGUACAGGAUGGACCCGCGUCUGAUUAGCUAGUUGGUAAGGUAAAGGCUUACCAAGGCGACGAUCAGUAGCCGACCUGAGAGGGUGAUCGGCCACAUUGGAACUGAGACACGGUCCAAACUCCUACGGGAGGCAGCAGUGGGGAAUAUUGCACAAUGGGCGAAAGCCUGAUGCAGCAACGCCGCGUGAGCGAUGAAGGCCUUCGGGUCGUAAAGCUCUGUCCUCAAGGAAGAUAAUGACGGUACUUGAGGAGGAAGCCCCGGCUAACUACGUGCCAGCAGCCGCGGUAAUACGUAGGGGGCUAGCGUUAUCCGGAAUUACUGGGCGUAAAGGGUGCGUAGGCGGUCUUUCAAGUCAGGAGUGAAAGGCUACGGCUCAACCGUAGUAAGCUCUUGAAACUGUAAGACUUGAGUGCAGGAGAGGAGAGUGGAAUUCCUAGUGUAGCGGUGAAAUGCGUAGAUAUUAGGAGGAACACCAGUUGCGAAGGCGGCUCUCUGGACUGUAACUGACGCUGAGGCACGAAAGCGUGGGGAGCAAACAGGAUUAGAUACCCUGGUAGUCCACGCCGUAAACGAUGAGUACUAGCUGUCGGAGGUUACCCCCUUCGGUGGCGCAGCUAACGCAUUAAGUACUCCGCCUGGGAAGUACGCUCGCAAGAGUG